CUGUGAGAUCAUGACCUGAGCCAAAGUCAGAUGUGUAACCAACUGAGCCACCCAGGCACCCCUAAAGUGGGUCAUUUUAGAUGCUAUCCUAGGGGUAUAUUACCAGGCUUGUCAAGAUCAAGCCUAAAGCAAACAAUCCUCUCCCUCCAAGUUCAAUGAAUUUAUUGUAAACGACUGUCUUUUUCUUGCAAGGUCCAUAUAAAAUUGCUCCAAAUCUGCUCCGAAUGUUUCUUAAAAAGCUCACAUACCCUUUAUCGUUUAUAAUCAAAACUUUCCCCCCAGUGUUCUAAGUGGCUUGGGAAGCCCAAUCCAGAGGCUGUCUGGAGCAUCUCCUAUCUACACGUGCAAGCUGCCGUGGGCCAUACACAGUAUCUGUGUGACCGCUGGUGCCAUGUACAAGGAGACUAGCCAAAAUGUAAAUAUCCAGUGUUAUGAAAAUACAUAUGGGGAAAAAAGGACUCUGAUGCACAAUGGAAUGCAGAUCAAAAGCCUUGGGAUGGCACACACCCUCCAACCCAGCAAUUUCAUUUGUAGUGGAGAGCUGAAAAUGUACAGUACUCCUGUUGUGAAACAAAUAUAGUCCUUUGAUUGUCUGUGACUGAUUUCCUCCAAAGCACCCAUCUUGAUAGGAAGCGAGAGAAAACUAAAUUCAGUCCACGCCACUAAAACCCAGUUUAAUUCAAUACAUAAAGGGACCAUUUAGAUGCUCAGUCUAUCAAGGUAAUUGUCUGGUCUCUCAUCAAUUCUCCCACUUCAACAUAGGUUUAGGCACAUAGGGGGCGGGAAGGCUUACAUGUCCUAUUGCAUUAGGGAAAAGGCUCUUUGGAGUUCAUAUAUAGUACACUCCCAUUUCUGCUAUUAAAAAAAAAAAAGUACAAGUGU